rnacentral:rRNA from 1 species
AGUAAAAGUCGUAACAAGGUUUCCGUAGGUGAACCUGCGGAAGGAUCAUUAAUGAAUGAACUUGGGCAAAGUUGUCGCUGGCCUCAGCAAUGGGGCAUGUGCACGCUUUGUUCAUCCACCCUUCACACCACUGUGCACUUCUCAUGGGUCGGGUUGCGUCUGAAAUAUGGCAAAGCCCUUCUCAUGUGUUUUAACCACACACUAUACAAGUUUUAGAAUGUAACAAUCAUGCAUCAAUGCAUAUAAUACAACUUUCAGCAACGGAUCUCUUGGCUCUCGCAUCGAUGAAGAACGCAGCGAAAUGCGAUAAGUAAUGUGAAUUGCAGAAUUCAGUGAAUCAUCGAAUCUUUGAACGCACCUUGCGCUCCUUGGUAUUCCGAGGAGCAUGCCUGUUUGAGUGUCAUGUUAUUCUCAAUCCCGUCUGCUUUGCGGCCGUCGGGUUUGGAUGUGGAGGCUUGUGCUGGCCCCUCGCGGUCGGCUCCUCUUGAAUGCAUUAGCGGGGCUUAUGCUCGAUGCAACGGUGUAAUACUUUCUUUUCACCGGAGUAACUUGCAAUGGAAAGUCCGCUUCUAAUCGUCUCGCAUGAGACAUUGUAAAGGGAUGGAUUUCUCUUUGACACCUUUGACCUCAAAUCAGGUAGGACUACCCGCUGAACUUAAGCAUAUC